rnacentral:rRNA from 1 species
AGUUUGAUCCUGGCUCAGGAUGAACGCUGGCGGCGUGCCUAAUACAUGCAAGUCGAACGAAUCUCUUUUAGAGAUGAGUGGCGAACGGGUGAGUAAUACAUAGGUAACCUGCCCCUGUGCGGGGGAUAACAGGAGGAAACUCCUGCUAAUACCGCAUAGCCAUGAGCACCGCAUGGAGCUCAUGCCAAAUAUCCUUUAUGGGAUAGCGCAGGGAUGGACCUAUGGCGCAUUAGCUGGUUGGCGGGGCAACGGCCCACCAAGGCAACGAUGCGUAGCCGGCCUGAGAGGGCGGACGGCCACAUUGGGACUGAGACACGGCCCAGACUCCUACGGGAGGCAGCAGUAGGGAAUUUUCGGCAAUGGGGGAAACCCUGACCGAGCAACGCCGCGUGAGCGAAGAAGGCCUUCGGGUCGUAAAGCUCUGUUGUAAAGGAAGAACGGCGCAUACAGGAAAUGGUAUGCGAGUGACGGUACUUUACCAGAAAGCCACGGCUAACUACGUGCCAGCAGCCGCGGUAAUACGUAGGUGGCGAGCGUUAUCCGGAAUCAUUGGGCGUAAAGAGGGAGCAGGCGGCCGCAAGGGUCUGUGGUGAAAGACCGAAGCUAAACUUCGGUAAGCCAUGGAAACCGGGCGGCUAGAGUGCGGAAGAGGAUCGUGGAAUUCCAUGUGUAGCGGUGAAAUGCGUAGAUAUAUGGAGGAACACCAGUGGCGAAGGCGACGGUCUGGGCCGCAACUGACGCUCAUUCCCGAAAGCGUGGGGAGCAAAUAGGAUUAGAUACCCUAGUAGUCCACGCCGUAAACGAUGGUCACUAAGUGUCGGGGGUCAAACCCCGGUGCUGCAGUCAACGCAAUAAGUGACCCGCCUGAGUAG